rnacentral:lncRNA from 1 species
UGGGUUCGCAUUCAUCUUGCGGAGGACGGAACUUUCAAAGCGGUGGGGAAUGGAAAACUCAAAUCGAACUUCUUUCUGGAAGUAUGAGAAAAACCAUAUCACCAGCUAAUUACAGAUCGAAUUGCAGUGACGGUGAUGGCGGCGGUGAAGGGCAGAAGGGAAACAGGGGAGGUACACAGGGUGGGAGGAAGGAGAUUCGGGGGGUUUCCUCCUCAGGAAGUGGGGAUGACUUUCUUGACGAUCUCGUCGCUGAGGGCCGCGAUCUGGGAAUCGAGGGCUUUGAUGGUGUCCUCCUUCUGGCGGUCAAGGUUGGCAAGGGCCUCCGCCAGCUCCGCCUCCACCCGCUUCCUCCCCUCCGCCAGCUUCGCCUCCAGCUCCGCCGUGGUCUCCUUCUUCAUCUGGUUCAGCGCCGCCGAGAUCUCCGCCCGCGCCGCCUUCAUCACCGCCGCCGCCUGCUCUUCCAUCUGCUUCACCUCCGAGGAGGUGUCCUUGACAUCUCCCAGCUUCGACCUGAUGGCGGCGUCCCGCUCGUCCAUGAACUUACCCAGAGGCGUGAAGUAGAUCUUGUCCAGAGCCACCAUCAGCAAGAGGAACUCGGCGGCGAUGGCGGGCAGGGUCAGAUUGAAGUCGAACAGCGCCGCCUUCUCAAUCUCCGCGGCGAGGGCGGGGAGAGGGGAGGCUCCCCAAGACGCCGCCACCAGACCCGCCGCCAGGGCGGCCGCCUUGCCCCCGUGCUGGCGCUGGAGGGAGAUCACGGCGAGCUUCAGCUGCUGAAAUCUGCUGGGUGAAACCUGCUGCGGCUGCUUGGACGCCGAGGCGACGGCAGGCAGCAGGAUCCUCGAUGGGGUCCUGCAGGAAGCCAUGACUGCGCUCGCCAUGGAUCUGGCCCUCUCUAGCUUGACUCCUCUGCUCUCUCUUUCUCUCUCUUCCCCUUCUCUGGUUUUUCUGGGUCUGUGGAAGAAGGGGGGAGGGGGAUAUCUGGUGAGGGGUGUGGUAGGGGAAAGAAGGGGAAUCACACGGUACCCUAUCCGAUCUCUCGGCCACACAAAAGCGAACCUUUCG